rnacentral:miRNA from 1 species
AUUAGGUUAGUGGAAAAGUAAUUGUGUUUUUGCCAUUACUUUUUAAUGGCAAAAACUGCAGUUACUUUUGCACCAAU